rnacentral:RNase_P_RNA from 1 species
UGAGUUAGCCAGGUGAUCGCGUUCCGUGGCAACACGGGCCGAGGAAAGUCCGGACUCCACAGGGUACAGCGCCGGGUAACCCCCGGGCGGGGCGACUCGCAGACAGGGCCGCAGAAACAGACCGCCGCCGGUCCCUCAGGGCCGACGGUAAGGGUGAAAAGGUGGUGUAAGAGACCACCGGCGCAGCGGGUAACCGUUGCGGCCAGGCAACCCUCGCUGGGAGCAAGGCCAAGCAGCAGGGAAGGCCCUCGGGCCAGGGAGCGACCCGUUCCCCCUUCUACGGGAGCAACCUGCGGGUAGGCUGCUGGAGAUGCUGGGAGACCGGCGUCGUAGAUAGAUGAUCACCGCCUUUAUGAGGAACAAAAUCCGGCUUAUCGGCCGACUCAGGCU